CUACACCACCAAUAGAAACUAUAACAAAUCGUUUCUCAUUUGUAAAAGCGAUACUUCUAAAGUUCUUUGGGUUUUUUUGUUUUUAUAUCUUUGGAGAUUUUAAGUCAGAAAAAAAAUCUCCAUUUGUUGUGCAUGCUCCCUGCCAGUGUGGCCAGUGUGAUGGGACGUGGUGGUGAAGAGCGUGGAGGGAAGGCCAGACGCGCGCAGGAGAGCCCCUUACCAGGAGGGACAGCUGGCGGGGCGGCAGGGAGAGGGUGUUCCUUUGGAAGAGAGGCUAUUCUUCGUCAUCCACAAAUGGAUGGACGACUGGCUGGGGGAAGGGUGAAUAAGUGGGCAGGUUAGUAAGAUACUUUCAGGUAUUUGGUGGUAAAUGAUGGGAAUUAAGUGAAAGCCGGAGCCCCUGGUGUGUGCAGGGGGUGGACAGAAGGCUGGGUGAGCCUGUCGGCUCGGGUGUCACUGGGGGGCCCUCCUGAGGUGGCAACGCUACGCUGACAUGUGGAGAUGGGGCGAGUGCACCUAGCACGUGAGAUGGAUGUGGAUCCGAGGGACCAGAAGGCAGACCAUAGUGGGCCACGCGGUGACCCCACCAACACAUACAUCCAUUUCCUAACGCCCAGAACAUGUGAAUGUGACUUUAUUUGAACAAAGGUCUUUGUUGAUGUGUCACAAAUCUUGAGAUCAUCCUGGAUCAUCCAGCUGGGCCCUAAAUUCAGUGGCAAAAAGGUCCUUAUAAGAGGAAGGCAGACACAGACUUGCCUCAGAGCGUCUUCUCUGACCACAGCAGCACACAGUCAGAGACGGUUACAGGAGGAAACCUGGCAGGUUCACAAUACCGUGGAACUUUUCUUUAAGAUUUAUUUAAAGAACAAUACACACACUUUUCUUUAAGAUUUAUUUAUUUGAGAGAGAAAAAGUGAGAGAGAGAGAGAGAGAGAGAGAGCACACGAGUGCGGGGAGGGGCAGAGGGAGAAGCAGGCUCCUCACUGAGCAGGGAGCCCGACAUGGGGCUCGUCCCAGGACCCGGGGAUCAGGACCUGAGCAGACUCCUGGCCAGCCCCCAGGCGCCACUAAACAACACACUUUCAAACAACUAACGGAUCCAAGAGAAAUUGGAGAAUACUUAGAGACCAAUAAAAAUGAAAACACGACUUAUCAACCUGUAGGUUACAGUAAAAACAGUGCUAAGGGGGGAGUUUAUAACCAUAGAUACUUACAUUAAAGACAAGAAAAGCCUCAUCAACAACAUAGAACUAGAAAAAGAACAAAGCUUUGCACCCAAAGUCAGCAGAAGGAAGGAAAUAACAAAGAUCAAAGCAGAGAUAAAUGGAAUUGAGAACAGAAUACAAUAGAGAAAUUCAGUUCUUUGGAAAGGUCAAUAAACCAGCUGAGGGGCUCAGUUGGUUAAGCCUCCGACUUGAUUUCAGCUCCGACUUAAUUUCAGCUCCGGUCAUGAUCUCAGGGUCAUGGACCCAGCCACGCGGGGUGCUGUGUGCUCAGUGCGGAGUCUGCUUGUCCUCCCCCAGCUUGUGUGCACUGUCUUUCAAAUAAACAAAAUCUUUAAAGAAAAUAUUAAAGUUUUGACAAACUUCUAGCUAAUGGACUAAGAAAAAAGACAAAUUACUAAAAUCUGAAAUGAAAGCAGAGGCAUUGUUACUGAUUGUGCAGAAAUAGAAAGGGUCGUCAGAGAGUCCCGUGAACAGCUGAACACCAGCACGCGGGAUAACUGGGAUGAGGGGACGCAGGGCUGCAAACACAGAACCUCCGAGACCGAGUCACGGGGAUGCCGGGUGUGAACAGGCCUACGACUGGUACGGAGCCCGGCUCAGGAUCCGACACCGCCCCGCGGAGGAGAGCCCAGGACCUGCUGGCUUCGCAGGUGGUUCUCCCAACGUCCUUGCCAACUCUUCCCAAAGCCUGAGGGGGAGAGAAGCUUCCCGACUCAUUCUGGGAGGCCAGCAUCAGCCGGGUACCAAAGCCACACGGAGACACCGUCCGAAAGGAAAACCGGAGCCCGACAUCCGUGACCCCCUCCCAGCAACCGGGGUAGCGGCGCGUCCAGAGGGCUGUACCCCACGACCAAGGGGGACUCUUCCUGGAACGCAGGCGCGGGCGGGACACGGAUCAUGUGACACGCGCAUCGGAGAGUGGAGGGGGGACCCCGGAUCGUCGCCGCUGAGGCCGGUCUCCAGGCCUGUGACCACGCAGCACGCGUCCACAUAAAAACACCCCACGAACCAGGGACGCAAGGGAAGCACCUGCACACACUAAGAAGCACGUAGAAGACCCCGGGAGAUGUCCGACGCGACGUGAGACUGAACGCGUCUCCUCUGAGAUGAGGAGCAAGGUGGGGAUGCUGCUGCCACCACCUCUGUUCCACGCGGUCCUGUAGGCGUCCUGCUGGGAGCGGGCAGGGGGAGGGGUUCCAUGCGGAAGAUGCAGGAGUGAGCAUCCCUCUCUUUGCCGAUGAUGUGAUCUUAAUGUGGAAAAUCCCAAAGAGGUGGAGGUCGUGGUGUCACCUGCCUGCCGUUCCGCUGCCCGCCCGCUCCAGCCACGCUCUCCGCCCUCGCCCACCCCGCUGUCGGCCCAGAAAAUGCUAACAGAGCCGUGCUGGGGGCUUUCGGAGGAACUGCGCAGCCUGUCAGCCGCCUGACCCUCUACGACAGUGCUUGUACACCCGGGGUGGCCGCAGAUCUGAGGCCAGGGCACCCGGGAGAGGCUACCUCGGACCUAAGCAGCUGGCUGACCGUCUAAAAGGCCGAGAUGUGGUGGUUAUUCCAGCAGGAGUCCCAGGAAAAACCAGGCCUGCCACGGGGUGACCUGGUCAACACCGGUGCCCCAGUUGUGGUCGCCCUGCCUGCUGCCUGCACCCAGCCCUGACCUGAGGCCGCGAGCUACAUCACUGCAAAUCCACUAAACUCCACCAUCCCAAUCGCGACAAAAGUUUUCAAGAAACACAGAGCAUAGAACCCCAAUAAAAUCUUCGAGGUGACAACCUUGGACAUUGUCAGAGUCAGCACUUUGAUUGUAGAGCUGAAGGGUUUGGAUCCCGCUCGACUCAACGUUCCUGUCAUUGGCUCAUUGGCGGCCAUGCUGGAGAGACUGUCGUCCCCCGAUCUCUCAGUGCACCCUCAAGGUGGACCUUCCUCAGGACUAGCUGACGGCUGUUCCCUGGGCAAUCCAGGAGGCCAGCACGGAGGUGGUGAAGGCCAAAGCUGGAGCAGGCCCUGCCACCUUGUCCAUGGCAUAUGCUGGAGCCUGCUUUGUUUUCUCCCUUGUGGGUGCAACGAACAGAAAGGAAGGAGUUGUUCAGUGUUCCUUCGGUAAGUUCCAGGAAGCAGACCACCUCUUGCUCCACACCGUCGCUGCUGGGGUCAAGGGCAUGGAGCAGAAUCUAGGCGUCGGCAAGCUCUCCCCUUUCAAAGACAAGAUGAUAGCAGAAGCCAUCCCUAACUUAGGAGGCAUGUGGCCCUGUAAAGCCAUCUUCUGCCCCUUGUGUUUCAGUUGCGUUAACCACGAGUGUCAUGUUUGGGUCGCUGUCCCUUUCAAAUUGUGGGUCCGUCUAUGGGUGCAUCAAUAAAAGCAGGCUUUUUCUUAAAAAAAAAAAAAAAAAAAGGAAAUCCCAAAGAUGACACACACACACACGUUACAACUACUAAACAAAUUCAGCAAGAUAGCAAGACAAAAGUCAACACAAAAAUCACCUGCAUUUCUGUACAUUAGUAAUGAGUAAUCUGAAAAGGAAAUUAUAAAAAACAAUUCAAUUUACAGUCACAUCAAAAAUAAUAAAAUACUUAGGAAUUAACCAAGAAGAUGAAAGACUAGUACAAUGAAAACUACAAAAAUUACUGAAAGGAAUUAAAGAAGGCAUAAAUAAAUGGAAACGGGCAGCCUGGGUGGCGCCGCGGUUUAGCGCCACCUUCAGCCCAGGGCAUGAUCCUGGAGACCUGGGAUCGAGUCCCGCGUCGGGCUCCCUGCAUGGAGCCUGCUUCUCCCUCUACCUGUGUCUCUCCCUCUCUCUCUCCCUCUCUCUGUGUCUCUCAUGAAUAAAUAAAUAAAAAUCUUUAUAAAUAAACAAAUAGAAACAUGUUCCAAGUUCACGGAUUGGAAGACUUAAUGUUGUUAAAAUGUCAAUACUACCUAAGCAAUCUAUAGUCAAAGCUAUCUCUAUCAAAAUCCCAAUGAUAUAUUUUGCAGAAAUUUAAAAACCCAUCCUAAAUUUUAUAUGAAAUCUCAGGGGACCCUAAGUUGCUGAAAUAAUCUUGAAAAAGAACAUAACUGAAGGACCUACACUUCCUAAUUUCAGGUUUUACUAUGAAGCUACACUAAUCAAAAAGUGUGAUAUUGGUAUUAUAAAGGCAGCCCUCUAGAUCAAUGGAGAUGAAUAGAGAGCCCAGAAAUGAACCCUCACGUAGGUGGUCAAGUGAUGUUCAACAAGGGUGCCAAGACCACUUAAUGGGGAAAGGACAGGCUUUUCAACAAACUGCUGGGGAAACUGCACAUCAGCAUGCAGAAGAAUGACAUUGGACCCCUGCCUCACACCACGUGCAGAAGUUGAAGUAGAUCAGGGACCUAAAUGUCAGACCUAAAACAAUGAAACCUUAGAAGAAAACAUAGCACAAAAGCUUCAGGACACUGGAUUUGGCAAUGAUUUCUUGGCUAGGGCAGCAAAGGCACAGUCAACAAAAGAAAAAAGACGAAUUGGACUUUUUGAAAAUAAAAAAAUUUUGUACAGAAUGUGAGAAAUUACUUGCAAGCCAUACACCUGAUAAGGGAUUACUAUCCAGAGUAUAUAGAGAACUCCUAAAAUGUAGCGUAAAAGAAACCAAACAACCUGCUUUAACAAUGGGCAAAAGGCUUAGACAUUUCUCCCAAGAAGGCACACACAGCCAGUAGCCGUGAAAGGAUGCUCAGUGUCACUGUCAUUACUGGGAACCACCUCAUAACCUACGGGGAUGGCUACUAUUAAAAAAAAAAAAAAAAAAAAGUAAAUAACAAGAAGAUAAAA